rnacentral:lncRNA from 1 species
GCCUCUAAGCGCUCCAAAUAUCUACUUGCAGAUUCUACAAAAAGAGAGUUUGAAAACUACUCAAUCAAAAGAAAGGUUUAACUCUGUGAGAUGAAUGCACACAUCACAAAGAAGUUUCUCAGAUUGCUUCUGUCUACAUUUUAUGUGAAGAUAUUUCCUCUUCUACCAUAGGCUUCAAAGCGCUCCAAAUGUCCUCUUGCAGAUUCCACAAAAAGAGAUUUUCAAAACUGCUCAAUCAAAGGAAAGGUUUAACUCUGUGAGUUGAAUGCACACUGCACAAAGAGGUUUCUCAGAUUGCUUCUGUCUAGAUUUUAUGUGAAGAUAUUUCCUUUUCUACCAUAGGCCGCAAAGCGCUCCAAAUGUCCA